GAUGAACGCUAGCGGCAGGCCUAACACAUGCAAGUCGAGGGGUAACAUUAGGAAAGCUUGCUUUUCUGAUGACGACCGGCGCACGGGUGCGUAACGCGUAUACAACCUACCUUUUAGCGGGGAAUAGCCCAGGGAAACUUGGAUUAAUGCCCCAUAGUAUAUAGACUUCUCCUGAAGUUUAUAUUAAACAUUUAUGGCUAUUAGAUGGGUAUGCGUCCUAUUAGUUAGUUGGUAAGGUAACGGCUUACCAAGGCAGCGAUAGGUAGGGGUCCUGAGAGGGAGAUCCCCACACUGGUACUGAGACACGGACCAGACUCCUACGGGAGGCAGCAGUGAGGAAUAUUGGACAAUGGGCGAGAGCCUGAUCCAGCCAUGCCGCGUGCAGGAAGACUGCCCUAUGGGUUGUAAACUGUCUUUUACAGAGGAAGAACCCACCCCACGUGUGGGGGUUUGACGGUACUCUGCGAAUAAGGAUCGGCUAACUCCGUG
rnacentral:rRNA from 1 species